GAACCCGGAGCUUGCUCUGGUGGGAUUAGUGGCGAACGGGUGAGUAACACGUGAGCAAUCUGCCCCCGACUCUGGGAUAACCCCGAGAAAUCGGAGCUAAUACCGGAUACGACACCUCCUGGCAUCAGGUGGGUGUGGAAAGAAUUUCGGUUGGGGAUGAGCUCGCGGCCUAUCAGCUUGUUGGUGAGGUAAUGGCUCACCAAGGCGACGACGGGUAGCCGGCCUGAGAGGGUGACCGGCCACACUGGGACUGAGACACGGCCCAGACUCCUACGGGAGGCAGCAGUGGGGAAUAUUGCACAAUGGGCGCAAGCCUGAUGCAGCAACGCCGCGUGGGGGACGAAGGCCUUCGGGUUGUAAACCUCUUUUGGCAGGGAAGAAGCGAAAGUGACGGUACCUGCAGAAAAAGCACCGGCUAACUACGUGCCAGCAGCCGCGGUAAUACGUAGGGUGCAAGCGUUGUCCGGAAUUAUUGGGCGUAAAGAGCUCGUAGGCGGUGUGUCACGUCUGCUGUGAAAAUCCAAGGCUCAACCUUGGACUUGCAGUGGGUACGGGCACACUCGAGUGCGGUAGGGGAGAUUGGAAUUCCUGGUGUAGCGGUGGAAUGCGCAGAUAUCAGGAGGAACACCGAUGGCGAAGGCAGAUCUCUGGGCCGUAACUGACGCUGAGGAGCGAAAGCGUGGGGAGCGAACAGGAUUAGAUACCCUGGUAGUCCACGCCGUAAACGGUGGGAACUAGAUGUGGGGUCCGUUCCACGGAUUCCGUGUCGCAGCUAACGCAUUAAGUUCCCCGCCUGGGGAGUACGGCCGCAAGGCUAAAACUCAAAGGAAUUGACGGGGGCCCGCACAAGCGGCGGAGCAUGCGGAUUAAUUCGAUGCAACGCGAAGAGCCUUACCAAGGCUUGACAUAUAGAAGGAAAAGUGCAGAGAUGCACUCCCCGCAAGGUCUCUAUACAGGUGGGUGCAUGGUUGUCGUCAGCUCGUGUCGUGAGAUGUUUGGGUUAAGUCCCGCAACGAGCGCAACCCUCGUCCUAUGUUGCCAGCACGUAAAGGUGGGAACUCAUGGGAGACUGCCGGGUCACUUCGAAGAAAAGGGGGGGGAUGACGUCAAAUCAUCAU
rnacentral:rRNA from 1 species